AUUGAACGCUGGCGGCAGGCCUAACACAUGCAAGUCGAGCGGAUGGGAGGAGCUUGCUCCUUGAUUUAGCGGCGGACGGGUGAGUAAUGCCUAGGAAUCUGCCUGGUAGUGGGGGAUAACGUUCCGAAAGGAACGCUAAUACCGCAUACGUCCUACGGGAGAAAGCAGGGGACCUUCGGGCCUUGCGCUAUCAGAUGAGCCUAGGUGGGAUUAGCUAGUUGGUGAGGUAAUGGCUCACCAAGGCGACGAGCCGUAACUGGUCUGAGAGGAUGAUCAGUCACACUGGAACUGAGACACGGUCCAGACUCCUACGGGAGGCAGCAGUGGGGAAUAUUGGACAAUGGGCGAAAGCCUGAUCCAGCCAUGCCGCGUGUGUGAAGAAGGUCUUCGGAUUGUAAAGCACUUUAAGUUGGGAGGAAGGGCAUUAACCUAAUACGUUAGUGUUUUGACGUUACCGACAGAAUAAGCACCGGCUAACUUCGUGCCAGCCGCCGCAGUAAGAC
rnacentral:rRNA from 1 species